rnacentral:rRNA from 1 species
CGUUCAACCUCACCCUUCCUUGUUCAUCCCGCCUAUAUACCACCGUCGUCAGCUUACCCUGUGAAGGUCCAAUAGUAAGCAAGAUUGGCAUUGCCCAAAACGCCAGGUCGAGGUGUAGCGUAUGGAAGGGGAAGUAAUGGGCUACAUUCACUAACAAUAGUGUAUACGAACAGUGCACUGAAACGUGCACAUUGAAGGAGGAUUUAGCAGUAAGUGGAAAAUAGAGCGUUCCACUGAAAUUGGCCCUGAAGCGCGCACACACCGCCCGUCACUCUCCCCAAGCUCCACUAGCCUAAAUGCCUAAAACCUAAAAAAUGCAAAGGGGAGGCAAGUCGUAACAUGGUAAGCGUACCGGAAGGUGCGCUUGGAAAAAC